rnacentral:rRNA from 1 species
UACUCCGAUCGGUUGAGUGGAGGUCUUCCGAGGGGGCUAACCCGGUAAACACCGGCAGCCUAGCCCCGGCGAACGCUACACAACCGACCCACGCCCCACUUUGCCAUGCUAACCAGUAAGUAGGACUUUUCGGGUAACCAGCGGGUUUGGGGUGUCGCGUGCGGGGGUGGAGGAAGGAGGGAGUGAGCAGAGUCAGCGUACUUGGGAUCGGCGGCGGGGUGGGCGUAGGCAGGAGGUAGGGACCAUGCUAGAGAAGGAGGAGACAGAUACAGACGGGGCUCGAGAAGGAGGAGGCAGGAGUGUACGAGGUGGGGCUCGGGGCGGAGAAGGUGGGGUGGACCUGAAGCGGAGCAGACAAGCGCGUGGUCAAGUUUCCCGUCCCGGUCUCUCGGCACCUCUCAGGAGCCCUCUCCUCUCUUUCCGUUUCCGCCUCGUCUCCUUUAGUUCUUCCAGUCCCCCGCUCCCUCCCUACCCUGUCCGGUACUUCUCGUACUACCCGCUCUAGGGCAACGACAGCUGUGCCCGCCCAGGUACCCAGACGCUACGCACCGUCGCCGCCGAGUUCCUCCUCCGUGGGCGACCCUCCCGUGGACGACCAUGCAGGUGUUGGAGUCGGCGAUACUCAAGGGGGAGGCCAAGUUGUAGGGGGAACGAGUGGGGUGCAGCACGUGCUCUAGCUCGAGGGGUGCGAACUACAGUUCGGGGUGUUCUAUAUGGUGCUUCCCUUCUAGACGGAGUUACACGUGAAGUCCGCGCGCGCUACCAUGUCCUAACCGAAGGACCACCUUAGUCCACGCGUAGCAGGUACCACCGGACAGCACCCACAACCCUCUACCCCAACUACCUCUUCUUCUCCUUUAUCUCCACCCACAAGAACGCCGUGAGCCGACCAAGGUUUUGGCACUCCCCUUCCUGAAGUACGGAGACCUCCCCUUUCUCGUCUCCUAAGCCCUCUUCUUCGUUGGUCUCCUCGGCCUCUUGUACCGGGGACAGGACAAAGAGUCAUUGAACCCCGAUAAUUCUUCUCCGGAAAGGUAAGAUCCGUAGUAAAGAGUUAACAAACCCCAGGUUAAGAUGUUUACGAACCUACACAACCAAGCCGGAAGACAAUUAGAGGUCUACUAUCCGAGAUCUUAGUGAUUGCAACGAGGAAGAGACAGGGAAACCAGUUCCACAGCACAAACACACAAACAAAAACACGUGUUUCCUUACUCCUUUCCUAUGACCUCCGUACCGCAUUCGCAUCCCCAGUCGGUCCCGUGCUGCGUCCUCAGACGGGUAGAGGAGAGUUUCAAUCAAGAACGAGAACAGGGACGAUGGAGCGGACGUUUGAGAGACUAUCUCAUAAAAUAAAGACGUUAUUUACUCCGUUGGAAUGUACAACUGUUCUUUCUCUCUGUCCCUCCACUCUACUCCUUUCGUCUCCUUGUUGUCCUCCUCCUCUUCCCGUCGCCACUAAUAGAGUACCAGCAGCCGCUGUCGCAGCGGGACGGCGGCGCCGGACGCUCCUGGGUCUAGCCCGUGACCCUUCGGGUAGAUCCGGGGCUCGGCGGAUCGAGGACGCGGGCUCGCCGAGGGACGAGCGGGCUGGAGGUCGGCUGGAGCCAGCGGCGGCUGGAACAGUAGGCAUGGGAGAACGGUGGAGCGGGAACAACCUAGGAGCGGAAGCCAGAAGAGGCGGAGCGGGAGUUGAUGCCUAGGCCGACGAGGGAGGCAAGUACCGGACGGCUUGGUUGUGGCCGCGGGGAGAGGAGCGUCGUCUCGGAGUGGCGGGAGGUACCGCGCCGGAGGGUCACGGAUCAGCGACGGGCCGGGGCGGUAGCGGGUCUUUGCCUCGGCGGCGGAGGCCUAGGCAGCGGAGCGCAGGAAGGAGCUGGAGGAACCUGCGGGGAGCGGCCUCUAGUCCAGUGGCAGCAGGGACGGAGUAGGACCUCGCUCUCCUCCUGCCGGGGGCACCGGAGGAGCGAGCGGGACGCCCACCCUGCGCAGGAGCGAGCGGCCGGGUGGCGACGACGAGGGGCGCAGCCGGGACGCGCGGCCGAAGGUUCCGGGUUGGACUCGAAGGGGUGGCUGGCCCGGUUCCGGGGAUCCACU